CAGAGCCAGUGGCCUCGCCCAUUCCCAGCCCUCAGUCUGCUGCUGCAAGGCCACUGAGCAGGUGGCUGAGUGUCCCUCCCCUGUCUCACCCCUCCCCCAUGGACCCCUUUAGCACUUAACCCUGCCUUCCACAGCCACCUUGCCCAGCAGAGGACAGGUGGCCACCUCCAUCCCACCCACCUCGGCCCCAGGACCUGCAGAGGAGGGCAGCUGCCCCCACCCGAUCCUUGACUUCAGGACACAAGGGCCACAGUCAACGGGAUAAGCAACACCAUCUGACUUCCAGAACAGCACGUCUACAAUUGCAAUUUUGUAAACUUGGGCUGGGAUAAACAGACAUUCACUCUUGUUUGCUUGAGGCUGUGGCCUUCUGCUACCCAGCCUCCCUCUUCAUCAUCGGGUGCAGAGUUCUUUUAUACAAAGUUCCCUGGGGAGCCGCUGGGCCUCCUCUAUGCACGAGACCUUCCUCCUCCUCACCUCUGGUCCCUCUACCAAGGAGCUCUGAGUAAACUGGAUUUAUUCCUGAUCCCACGUGGGGAAGAAGCCGCAAGAGAGUAGACCCCAUUUGUCAUCUUCUGCCACUUCAAGGAUUGUGGAGACCCCCGACCCCAUUUUUCUUGGAAGAUCAGGGCUAAGUAAUGACGACAUCAAAAUCCACUCCAUCUCCCACUUCAGCUUUUACGGCCUGUUCCCAUCCCUGGGCUCAAUCCUUACCCCAGAUCAAUCUGUGCUGCUUCUGCUGCUGUUGCUAUGAUGACGAUGAACCCAUCUCACAAAGGAAGAACCUGGGACUCAGAGCAGCUAAUUAACCUGCCCACGGCCACACAGUUUGGAAGCAGCAGGAUCGUUCCAUCCAAAUCUACCAAUUUUGAAAUCUGCCUUCUAUCCUCUCGGACCCCUUGAUCAGCUGUUUUGAAGCUAACACAGCAUUAUGAGAUCUUGAGAAGCUGCCAGAAGGUAAAUUAUGCUGUCUGUUGUUACUUCCUGGGAGGGUCAACUCUUUGCAUGGCCCCCUUCAGCUGUGAACUGCCUCACGGAACCCAGCGGGUCCUCCGAGCCAGAGGACCCCUUCCACUGCUCCUGCCCAGAAGCUGGGGAACCUUGUCAGAGUAAACCCUGCAAUGCAAACCUCUGCCUCUUCUCUGAAGACAGGGGAACGUCAUGCUCAGACAGUAUGUCCAUUUCUCGCUCACUCCGAAAGAGUCAAAGCGGAAGAAAUCAACACCGCAGAGUGAUGCCACCUAGACUUAUAGCACAGCCAACCAUUGCAAAUUAGCUUUCCACGGUGCGCUCCCCGGGCGCGUCUGAGAGUGGAUGUGUGCGCACCACCUACAACCCUGCGACUGUUCCUCCCUCGGAGGUGGAGGGGCGUCGGCUGGUCUGUGAUGUACUUCUUGGUCAUCUUUGAGUCCUCUCACCUAGCCCAAAACACUCUGCUUAUAAAAGCGUGGAGCAAAGGUUUUUUAAAAUUCCUUAAGUGCAUGAGUAAAUAGCAAUGGGUAAAUCACUAAAUAGUGAAAUAAAUAAACCAUGAAUAAGCAAGCCUCAAAUGCAAGGGUAGAAGAACACUGGUGAAGGAGUCAGUGAAUCAAGGAGCGACACGUUUCUCUCAGGACCUGUGUAAAGACAGCGUGGCUGAUGGGGGACGGGCUGGCUUUCAUCUCCCCUUAGAUCACCCUGCGCUGCAAGCCCUGGCCUCUCCGUGGCCACUUGUUCUCUUUAGCAAACAGACAAGCUUAAAAACAAAACAGAGGAACAGAGAAACAGAACCCUUUAGGAUCCAGGAGCUAAGCCUGGUGGGCCAGCUCGGUGGAAGAGACCUAGAGUGGAAGAGACCUGCUUCUGCCCUGGACAUCUAAGCCUCAAGGCUUUGCUGGGCCAGGAGGGUACAGCAGAUGGCCAUACUCCUGGACAUCGAACCCCAAGGACCUGCACCUCCCCACACAACUACGUGCCACUCUGGAGAGGAACGAGGAAGGGGAACUGAAGACAGAAACCUUAAAUGCUGAGCAUCUUUCCUGGGGGGAAGAAAAAAAAAACAAACACCUGAGCACUACCUAGAGGGACUGUUUCAGUUAUUGGAUUGGACAAAGUCUUAAACUAGAGUGGACAUUUAUUUGAUUCUUCCCUCCUUCUACUGAGUGGGCUGCAGCUCUUAAGGGAUAUUAAGUUAAAUGGACAAAAUAAAGAAACUACAUUUUCCCUGCAUAAA